rnacentral:rRNA from 1 species
GUGGGGAAUAUUGGACAAUGGGCGAAAGCCUGAUCCAGCCAUGCCGCGUGUGUGAAGAAGGCCUUUUGGUUGUAAAGCACUUUAAGCGAGGAGGAGGCUACCGAGAUUAAUACUCUUGGAUAGUGGACGUUACUCGCAGAAUAAGCACCGGCUAACUCUGUGCCAGCAGCCGCGGUAAUACAGAGGGUGCAAGCGUUAAUCGGAUUUACUGGGCGUAAAGCGCGCGUAGGUGGUUUUGUAAGUUGGAGGUGAACUCCCCGGGCUCAACCUGGGAACUGCCUCCAAAACUGCAUGACUAGAGUACGGUAGAGGGUAGUGGAAUUUCCUGUGUAGCGGUGAAAUGCGUAGAUAUAAGAAGGAACACCAGUGGCGAAGGCGACUACCUGGACUGAUACUGACACUGAGGUGCGAAAGCGUGGGGAGCAAACAGGAUUAGAUACCCUAGUAGUCC